AUUGAACGCUGGCGGCAGGCCUAACACAUGCAAGUCGAGCGGAUGAAGGGAGCUUGCUCCCGGAUUCAGCGGCGGACGGGUGAGUAAUGCCUAGGAAUCUGCCUGGUAGUGGGGGACAACGUCUCGAAAGGGACGCUAAUACCGCAUACGUCCUACGGGAGAAAGUGGGGGCUCUUCGGACCUCACGCUAUCAGAUGAGCCUAGGUCGGAUUAGCUAGUUGGUGAGGUAAUGGCUCACCAAGGCGACGUUCCGUAACUGGUCUGAGAGGAUGAUCAGUCACACUGGAACUGAGACACGGUCCAGACUCCUACGGGAGGCAGCAGUGGGGAAUAUUGGACAAUGGGCGAAAGCCUGAUCCAGCCAUGCCGCGUGUGUGAAGAAGGUCUUCGGAUUGUAAAGCACUUUAAGUUGGGAGGAAGGGCAGUAAGUUAAUACCUUGCUGUUUUGACGUUACCGACAGAAUAAGCACCGGCUAACUCUGUGCCAGCCGCCGCAGUAACAC
rnacentral:rRNA from 1 species